CAUGCAAGUCGAACGAGAUCUUCGGAUCUAGUGGCGCACGGGUGAGUAACGCGUGGGAACCUACCUUUCAGUUCGGAAUAACAGUUGGAAACGACUGCUAAUACCGUAUAAGCCCUCCGGGGGAAAGGUCAGCCGCUGAAAGAGGGGCCCGCGUCUGAUUAGCUUGUUGGUAGGGUAAAAGCCUACCAAGGCUACGAUCAGUAGCUGGUCUGAGAGGAUGAUCAGCCACACUGGGACUGAGACACGGCCCAGACUCCUACGGGAGGCAGCAGUCGGGAAUAUUGGACAAUGGAGGAAACUCUGAUCCAGCAAUGCCGCGUGUGUGAUGAAGGCCCUAGGGUUGUAAAGCACUUUCAACGGUGAAGAUAAUGACGGUAGCCGUAGAAGAAGCCCCGGCUAACUUCGUGCCAGCAGCCGCGGUAAUACGAAGGGGGCGAGCGUUGUUCGGAAUUAUUGGGCGUAAAGGGCGCGCAGGCGGUUUGGAUAGUUAGACGUGAAAGCCCUGGGCUUAACCUAGGAACUGCGUUUUAAUACUGCCAGACUAGAGAACUAGAGAGGAUAGCGGAACUCCCAGUGUAGAGGUGAAAUUCGUAGAUAUUG
rnacentral:rRNA from 1 species